AGCAGCAGCGAUGCCACAUGUUGUUUUCCCGACAGGAGACCAAGUCUGGCAUUUGAACGGGAUCCGUCCUCAGUUCCCCUUGGAGGCUCCAUUGGCUGCCGGGCGCAGGGUCUGGGAUCAUCUCCUUGUUGUGGCUAGUCAGGAUCUCCUCUGUCUCCUCCAAAAUACACAAAUCAAUAGGCCCGUGACAAUGGCCUUUUUCCUCAGAAGAAACCUGUGAGCACGCCCAGAAUUGAAGGGGCCUGUUUAACUGAAUUGUAAUCUUUGUGGCUUAUUCCUGGCUGACCUCCCACAGAGGGGGAACUACAAUCUUCUGCACCCAGCAAAAGAAACCACCCCUGAGCAAUGUUCCCUCUCAUCUUUUCCAUCUACAUGUGGAAUAAUUUUCUACGUGCACCGAGGAUGGAGCCUUCGGUUCCCUAGUUAUUCAUCAGACUUUCCCCCCUCGAUAAGAGGGAGACGAGGGACUGGCGGCGAGAGAACAGCUGCUCUCUGCUGGGCACUUGAGCGGGUGAAGCAAAGUAAGAAGACCUGGCCGUACGACGACCUCCACCAAGGUGUGUGCUGUCUGCCGGCUGGUAAUGCUCUGUAACAGAUCAGGCAUGGAAACUGUAGCCUGCAAACAUCUGCACCGAGCCAUCCUGGGCUACUUCCCAUGUGGAUUGACUGAAGACAUUCAGCGACCGUUAGUAGCAAACAGUAAUUCAUUUUGGUUACACCUUGAUGUACUUUCCUAGACUAAGCCCAAUGUAACGUAAGGGCAUCACUGCACACCCUUCGUGCCUACCUUGCCCCUGCCCGGCCUGAAACAUCAAAGAGGUAAUUUUAGCCAUUUUCUUAAAUCACUCUCCCACCACCCUCGCCAUGUGAGCUACAGAAGCAAAUGUGUUAGGUUACUUCUACGUGGUACUGCACGGGCCCUGGGUGGAGUGCACCUCUGGCCACACAGCGGAGUGAAACGCAAGCUGUGUCCAUGCUGUGGUGUGUGGCUACACAAAGCAGGGAAAAGCAAUGCCAGGAUGGAGGGAGCAGGAAAGACUCUGGCAGCUGAUGACUAGAGCCCUGCAAGUCCAUGGAAAUCCAUUUUAUAUCUGCGGGGAUCUGCAUCUGCGGAUGUGGCUGUGGAUAUCCAAGGCUCGUUUUUGUAAUGCAGAUACAAGUUUUUUAUCCGUGCAGGGAUCUACUGGUGGAGCCUUUCCCUGUUGCCUUCCCAUCUGUGACUGGGUGUAUCAGCCCUGCAGGGGAGCUGAAGGAGUCACCCCCCUCCCCCUCGGCCCAGCCUAGCUGGCUGAGAGGGCCCUGCCCCCCAGCCCUACUGGGCAUGCUCCAACUGGAGACUAGCUAUAAAACUUUCUGGAGCAGCACAGUCAGGACUGAGUGCCGGGGUGCGGAGGGAGCUCCAGGGGAGGAAGAGGUGGACCACGGUGCAACAGCCGGGCUGAGAGCAGCUACCAGAGAAGCUGAGGGCUGAGAGUGAGCAUACAUACAGAGAAGGCAUCUGCCAAGUACCAGAAGGAAGUCGCCCAGGGCGGGAAUUGCUCCCCAUGCACUCAGCUGAUUCCCUGCUGAGCGAGCAAUGGUCCACACCACUGCCAACAGGGCCCUGGGCUGGGACCUGGUGGACAGAAAGAGCCUGGGUCCCCCUAUUCCCUCCUUAGAUACCCCCAAAUGGAGGGAGCUUUUCCUAUUACGUAUUGACUGAGGCUGCUGGGCUGUAAUACCCUUAGUACAGGGGGUGGAUGUAUUGACUGAGGCCACUGGGCUGUACUACCCGGAGGCUACGUCUACACUGCCUUUUCUUGCACAAGAAACUAUGCAAAU